rnacentral:rRNA from 1 species
UACGUAGGGGGCAAGCGUUGUCCGGAUUUACUGGGCGUAAAGAGCGUGUAGGCGGCCAAGCAGGUCCGCUCUGAAAGCCCGGGGCUCAACCCCGGGAGGCGGGUGGAUACUGCUGAGCUCGAGUCCGGAAGAGGAGUGUGGAAUUCCUGGUGUAGCGGUGAAAUGCGCAGAUAUCAGGAGGAACACCAAUGGCGAAGGCAGCACUCUGGGACGGUACUGACGCUGAGACGCGAAAGCGUGGGGAGCAAACAGG